AAUAUGCAUUUCAUAAUAUGCAUACAUACAAAUCCUGCAAGUUAAAGCCACAAGAGCCAAUACUCCUCUUAUUCAGCUUUCAAUCUGCAGUCCACAAGGAUCUAAUUUAUGCACAAAAUCUUUUAUAUUCAAUUUUUCAUACGAAUGAACUGAUACUAAGAAUGUGAUAGACAAAAAAAAAAAAAAAAAAAAAAAAAAAAAAUUAAAGUCCAAAUGCCCAAAACCAGUUAAAACAAUGCCCAAUCCAAUGAAGAAAGUUUUCUAUUGCCCAUAUCAAUGAUUCUUAAUAAAAGACAUUUUCACCAUUUUUAGUAAUAACACCAUAGUAAGCCUUGUUUUUUUACAGAUCAAGAUUCCACUCUCUCUCUCUAUCUCUCUUCUCUCUCCUCUCUCUCUCAGAUGUGAAUCUGAAUCCACUUGUCGGCGAAGCACCGGCGACCUGAAGCACUUGCAAACCACCGCACCGGUGACGAGGCCUUGAUGCCAACAAGGCUUCUCCGAUAAGAUCUCCUCCUCCCUCGAGGACGUCCCGCCUGUACUCGUCUUGGAUCUGCUCCUCGACUAGGCCAACGAGACCAAGGUUCAUAGGCAGCCUCCGCCUCCGCCUCCAUGGCCAGAUCGAAGGCGUCGGGUGCGUGGUGAGGGAGGAGGAGUGGAUCCGAUGAGGGAGGUGAAGCAGUUUCGAUGAGGGAGGAGGAGGUACGGUGAGAGAGGGCGCAUGGUAAUGGAGUAUCCGAUCAGUGAGGGUGCAUGGCUAUGCGGUAGGUGUAGUUGUAUUUUUUUAGCUGAUAGGUAGCUCGAUAAUUCAUGUUGUAGUUUUGACUCGAUUAUGUUCUAAGUAUUUCUUCCUUUUUAUUACAAAAAGCUGAAAUAAGUUGAUUAUUAGUGGUUAGUAACUGAUUAUUGGGAGUCAGUAAUCAAGUUAUUAGGAGUCAGUAACUGAUUUAUUGGGAGUCAGUAACUGAUUUUUGGGGGGUCAGUAACCGAUUAUUGGGAGGCGGGUCAAGACGGGUCAACGCGGGUUAAGACGGGUCAAGGCGCCUCAAUGCGGCCACUUGGUGGCCUUAGAUGGGUCAAGGCGCGCCAAGCGGCCGCCUUGACCUGCCAAGGAGCUGCCUUGACCCUCCAAGCCCCGUCUUGGGCCGCCUUGACUUGCCUAGGCCUUCCUAGGUUGGCCUAGCGUAGCCAAAGGGCCGCCUUGACCCGUCUAGGGCCGCUAAGGGGCCGCCUUGACCUGCUUAGGGCCGCUAAGCGGUCGCCAUGACCCGCGUAAGCCCGCCUUGACCCAUUCUGACCCGCCUUAACCCGCCUUGACCCUCCUUAACCCGCCUUGACCCUCCUUGGCUCGCCUAGGGCCACCAAGGGGCCGCCAUGACUCACCAAUGGGCUGCCAUGACCCGUCUAGAGCCUCCUUGACCCGCCUUGGGCCAUUUUGACCCUGCCAGUCCCGCCUAGGGCUGCCUAGGGUCGCUAAGUGGACGCCUUAACCCCACUUAGGGCUGCCAUGGGGCCACCUUGACCUACUUAGGGUCGCCUUGACCUACCUAGGGCCACCAAGCGGCAGCCUUGAUUCGCCAAGGAGUUGCCUUGACCCUCCUAGACCCACCUUGGGCUGCCCUGACCCUCCUAGGCUCGCCUAGGGCAGACAAGGGGCCGCAUUGACCCUCCUAGGGCCGCUAAGGGGCCACCUAGACCUGCCUAUGGCCGCCAAGCGGUCACCUUGACCCGCCUAGGCCUGCCUUGACCAGCCAUGGUCCGCCUUGACUCGCCUUAACCCGCCUAGACCCUCCUAGGCUCGCUUAGGGCCACCAUGACCCUCUUAGGGUCGCCUUGGGCAGCUAUGACCCUCCUAGGCCCGCCAAGGUGCUGCCUAGAGCCGCCAAGGGGCCGCCUUAACCCACCUUAACCCGCCUUAACACUCUUAGGCUCGCCGACUGCCCGUCUACGGCCGCCUUGACCCUCCUAGAGUCACCUAGGGCCACCAUGACCCUCCUAGGGUCGUCUAGGGCCGCCUUAACCCACCUUGACCCACUUUAACCCACCUUGCCUUAACCCGCUUGGACCCUCCUAGGUUUGCCUUGACCCACCUUAACAUGCAUUGGCCCGGCUUAACCCGUCUUGGAUCGCUUUGACCCGCCUUGACCCGCCAUGGCCUACCUUGGGCCGACUUAACCUGACUUGGGUCACCUUGACCCUCCUAGGGCAACCAAAAGGCCGCCUUGACCCGUCUAGAGCCACCAAGAGGCCACCUUGACUUGCUUAGGGCCGCCAAGCGACCCUCCUAGACCCGCCUUGGGCAGCCUUGACCCUCCUAGGCUCGUCUUGACUCGGCUAGGGCCACCAAGCGACCGCCUUGACCCGCCAAGGAGCUGUCUUGACCCUCUUAGACACACCUUGGACCGCCUUGACCCUCCUAAGCCCUCCCAGGCUCGUCUAAGGCAGCCAAAAGGCCGCCAAGGGGCUGCCUUGACCAUUCUAGACCCGCCUUGGGCCGCCAUGACCCUCCUAGGCCUUCAUAGGCACGGCUAGGGCAGCAAAUGAGCCGCCAUGACCUGCCUUAACCAGCCUUGACCUUCCUAGGCUCACCGAGGACCACCAAAGGGCCACCAUGACUCGCCAGGGGGUUGCCAUAACCCUCCUAGGCACUUCUAGGGCAAUCUUAACCCGUUUAGGGCCGCCUUGAUCCGCUUUGACCCUCCUAAGCCCUACUAGGCCCGCUUAGGGCAGCCAAGGGGCCGCCAUGACCCUCUUAAGGUUGCCAAAGGGAUCCCUAGGGGAGCCAAGUGGUCGCCUUAACCCUCUUAGGGCUACCAUGGGGCCGCCUUGACCAGUCUUGGUUCGCCAUGUCCCUCCUAUGCCCUCCUAGGUUCGCCUAAGGCAGCCAGAGGGACUUCUUGACCAGCCUAGACCCUCCUUGACUCUCCUAGACCCUCCUAGGCUCGCCUAGCACAGUCACGGGGCCGCCUUGACCCGCCUAGGCCUACCUUGACCCUCCUAGGGCAACCAAGGGCCCGCCUUGACCCUUCUAGGGCAGCUAAGGGGCUGCCUUGACCAGCCUUUGGGUUGCCAAGGGGCCGCCUUAACCUGCCUAGGGCCACCAAGCGCCGUCAUAACCCGCUAAGGAGCUGCCUUCACCCUCCUAGACCCGCCUUGGGCCGCUUUGAGCCUCCUAGGACCUUCUAGGCUAGCCUAGGGCAACAAAGGGGUCGCCUUGACCCGCCUAUGGCCGCCAAGCAGUCGCCUUGACCCGCCUUAACCCGCCUAGACCCUCCUAGGCUCGUCUAGGGCCACCAUGACCCUCCUAGUCCCGUUUAGGGCCGCGUUGGGCCGCUUUGACCCUCCUAGGCCCUCUUAGGCCUACCUAGGGCUGCCAUGACCUUCCUAAGGCCGCUAAGGGGUUGCCUANNNNNNNNNNNNNNNNNNNNGCAAUGACCUCUUAGGGCCGCCAAGGGGCUGCCUAGGGUUGUCAUUGGGCCGCCUUAACCUGUCUAGCCCCGUCUAUGGCCGCCUUGGGUCGCCUUGACCCACCUUGACACUUCUAGGGCAGCCAGAGGGCCGCCUUAACCAACCUAGGCCGCCAAGUGGCUGCCUUAAUACUCCUAGACCCACCUUGGCCGCCUUUACCCUCCUAGGCCCUCUCAAGCUCGCCUAGAACAGCUAAGGGGCAGUCUUGACCCGGCAAGGGCCGCAAAGGGGCCACCUUGACCUGUCCAGGGCCGCCAAGGGGUCGCCCUGACCCGCCUAGGCCUGCCUUGACCCGCCUUAGGCCGGGUUGACACACCUUGACCCGUCUAGGCUCAGGUUGUCACGCCUUAACCCGUAUUAGCCUGGCUUGACCCGCCUUAACCCGCCAUGGCCUGCCUUGGGCCACCUUGGGUCGCCUUGACUCUCCUAGGGCAGCCAAAAGGCCACCUUGACCCGUCUAGUGCCACCAAGCAACCACCUUGACGCGCCUUAACCCGUCUUAACCCGCUUUAAAUCGCCUUGACUCUCCUAGGGCAGCCAAGGGGCCGUCAUGACCCUCCUAGGGCCGCCAAGCGACCACCAUGACGUGCCUAGAGCCGCUUUUGACCCGUAUUGGCCCGCCUUAACCAUCCUUGGGCCGCCUUGACCCGCCUUGGGUCGCCUUAACCCUAUUAGGGCAGCUAAGAGGCCGCAUUGACCCGUCUAGGGCCACCAAGCGGCCGCCUUGACGUGCCUUGACCCACCUUAGGAAGCCUUGACCCCCCUUGACCCGCCUGGACCCUCCUUGGUCAGCCAAGGGACCACCUUGACCCGCCUAUGGCCGCUAAAGUGCCGCCUAGACCUGCCUAGGGCCGCCAAACCGUCGGCUUGACCCGCCUAGGCCUGCCUUGACCCUCCUAGGCUCAUCUAGGGCCACCAAGGGGCCACCAUGACUCGACAAGGGGUCUAGGAGGGUGAAGCGGCUGCCUUGACCUGCCUUGGGCAGCCAAGGGGCCGCCUUGACCCGCCUAGGGCCGCUAAGGGGUCCCCAUGACCAGCCUAGGCCUGCCUUGACCCUCUUAGGCUCGCCUAAGGCCACCAAGGGGCCGCUAUGACUCGACAAGGGUCGUCUUGACCCUCCUAGGCCCGUCUAAGGUCGCCUUGACCCGCCUAGGCCCUUCUAGGCUCGCCUAGGGCAGCCAAAGGGCCGCCCUUUAACCCUUCCGCCUUAGGGCCGGCCUUUAACCUUCGUCCCGUACGUCCAAGCGGCCGUUAUGGACCGCCUUAAACCCUGCCUUGACCCGCCUUGACCCUCCUAGGCUCACCUAAGGCCACCAAGGGGAUGUCAUGACUCACCAAGGGGUUGCCCAUGACCCUCCUAGGGCCGCCAAGGGGUUGCCUUGACCCGCUGAAGGCUGCCAUGGGGCCGCCUUGACCUGCUUAGGGCCACCUAGCGGCGACCUUGACCCUGCUAAGGCCUCCAAAGGGCCGCCUUGACCUGCCUAGACCCGGCUACGGCCGCCUUGACAUGUCUAGGGCUGCGAAGCGACUGCCUUGACCCGGCUAGGGCCACCAAGGGGCUGCCUUGACCCGUCUAGUGCCACUAAACGGCCAUCUUAACACACUUUAACCUGUCUUAACCCGUCUUAACCCACUUUAACCCUCUUAGGCCCGCCUAGGGUAGCCAAGCGGCCGCCAUGACCCUCCUAGGGCCUAAGCGGCCGCCUUGACGUGCCUACAGCCGUCUUGACCCGCAUUGGCCCACCUUGACCAUCCUUGGGCCGUCUUGACCCGCCAUGGCCUGCCUUGGAGUCUUGGCUGCCCUAGAGGCCACCUUGACUCAUCUAGGGCCACCAAGCGGCCGCCUUGACCCACCUUAGGAAGCCUUGACCCCCCUUCACCCGCCUGGACCCCCCUUGGUCAGCCAAGGGGCUGCCUUGACCCGCCUAGGGCCGCUAAAGGGGCACCUUGACUUGCCUAGGGCCGCCAAGCGGUCGGCUUGACCCGCCUUGACUAGCCUUGACCCGCCUUAACCUGCCUUGACCCUCUUAGGCUCGCCUAAGGCCACUAAGGGGCCAUCAUGACUCGACAAGGGGCCUAGGAGGCUCAAACGGCCACCUUGACCCGCCUAGGGCCGUUAAGGGGCCACCUUGACCUGCUUAGGGCCAUCCCUUGACCCGCCUUGACCUUCCUAGGCUCGGCUAUGGCCACCAAGGGGCCGUCAUGACUCGAUAAGGGUCGUCUUGACCCUCCUAGGCCCGUCUCAAGCCGCAUUGACCCGCCUAGGCUCGCCUAAGGCUGCCAAGGGGCUGCCUUGACAUGCCUAUGGCUGCUAAGGGGCCGCCUUGGCCUGCCAAAGGACGCCAAGCGGCAGUCAUGACCCGCCUAGGCCUUCCUUGGGGAACGCCUUGACCUGCCUCGACCCGCCUUGACCCGCAUAUGCUCACCUAGGGCCACCAAAGGGAUGCCAUGACUCACCAAGGAGCCGCCAUGACUCGCCAAGGGGUUGCCCAUGACCCUCCUAGGGCCGCCUUGACCUACCUAGACCCUGCUAGGGCCACCUUGACCCGCUUAGGGCUGCCAUGAGGCCACCUUGACUUGCCUAGGCCCGUUUAGGGCCGCCUUGUCCCUCCUUGACUCGUCUUGGCCCGCCUUUGGCCUCCUUGGCCCUCCUAGGCUCGCCUAAGCCAUCCUUGACCAGCGUUGGGCCGCUAAGGUGCUACGUUGACCCUCCUAGGCCCUCUUAGGCUCGCCUAGGGCAGCCAAUAGGCCGCCUUGACUCGCCAUGACCUUCCUUGACCCGCCUAGACCUCCCUUGACCCGCCUUGAUCCGCCUAUGCCCAUCUAGGGCCGCCUUGACCCGCUUUGACCUGCCUUGACUCGCCUGGACCCUCUUAGGCUUGCCUAGGGCCACAAUGACCCUCCUAGGCCCGUCUAGGGCCGCCUUGGGCCGCUUUGACCCUCCUAGGCCCGCCUAGGGCAGCCAAGGGUCUGCCAUGACCCUCCUAGGGUGGCCAAGGGGCCGCCUUGACCCUCCUUAACCCGCCUUGACCCUCCUAGGCUCACCUAGGGCCACCAAGGGGCCGCCAUGACUCGCAAAGGGGUCGCCAUGUUCCUCCUAGGCUCGUCUAGGGCCGCCUUGACCUGUCUAGGGUCGUCUUGACCCGUCUUGGGCCGCCUUAACUCGUCUUGGGCCGCUUUGACCCUCCUAGGCCCGCCUAGGGCAGCCAAGGGGCCGCCUUGACCCUUCUAGGGCCGCCAAGGGGCUGCCUUAACCCGCUUAGGGCUGCCAUGGGGCCGUCUUGACCCGCUUAGGGCUGCCAUGGGCCCGCCUUGACCCGUUUAGGGCCUCCUUGACCCGGCUAGGGUCACUAAGGGGGCCGCUUUCACCCGUCUAAGGCCGCCAAGGGGCAGCCUUAACUUGCUUAUGUACUGUCGCCAAGGGACCGCCUAGGGCCGCCUUAACCCGAGUAGGGUCACCAAGAGGCCGCCUUGACCCUUCUAGGGUCGCCAAGAGGCCGCCUUAACUUAUCUAGGUCCACCAAGGGCCGUCUUGACCCGGCUAGGGCUUCAGUUCUUCUCAUACUGACCUCGGGAACCUAAAUUUUGAAAAAGCAUAUGUGUUACCCAUCUUUUCAAGUUUCACCAAAUUUCAGCCAAAACCUCUUGUUAUAGUACACGAGUUUUUGAGAAAUUUCACUAUUUCUGAACGUUUGGUUUUUUUCCAAUCUUAUGUGCUUUUACACAUCUUCUAACAUCAAUUGAACCAUUGUAGCAUCAAAAGCUCAUGACCUUUAUCAUUUUACUCACAAUCGAGCCUAAAUGACUCGCGACAACUUUGUUUGGUAAGGGUGUUGGAACUGUUGCUAUCAGUGGAACAAGGUGAAUCGCCAUGCUUGUGGAGUCUUCAAUUCUUCUCAUACUAACCUCGGAAACCUAAAUUUUUAAAAAGUGUACGUGCUACCCAUCUUUUCAAGUUUCACCAAAUUUCAGCCAAAACCCCUUGUCCCCACACGAGUUUUUGAGAAAUUUCAAUUUUACUGAACGUCUGUUUUUUUUCCAUUCCUAUGUGCUUACACACAUCACCUAACAUCAAUUGAACCAUUAUAACAUCAAAAGCUCAUGGCCUUUAUCAUUUCACUCACAAUCGAGCCUAAAUAUAGAUCAACUAACAUGAAUUGAACCAUUAUAGCAUCAAAAGCUCGUGGCCUUUAUCAUUUUACUCGCAAUCGAGCCUAAAUGACUCACGACAACUUUAUUUGGUAAAGGGGUUGGAACUGUUACUUUCAGUGGAACAAGGUGAAUCGCCAUGCUUUUGGAGUCUUCAAUUCUUCUCAUACUGACCUCGGGAACCUAAAUUUUGAAAAAGCGUACGUGUUACCCAUCUUUUCAAGUAUAACCAAAUUUCAGCCAAAACUCCUUGUUAUAGCACACGAGUUUUUGAGAAAUUUCAUUUUUUCUGAACGUCUGCUUUUUUCCAUUCAUGUGUUCUUAUAUAGAUCAGCUAACAUGAAUUGAACCAUUAUAGCAUCAAAAGCUCGUGACCGUUAUCAUUUCACUCGCAAUCGAGCCUAAAUGACUCAUGACAACUUUAUUUGGUAAAGGUGUUGGAACUGUUACUUUCAGUUUCAGUGAGUUUUAGUGGAACAAGGUGAAUCGCCAUGCUUUUGGAGUCUUUAAUUCUUCUCAUACUGACCUCGGGAACCUAAAUUUUGAAAAAGCGUACGUGUCACCCAUCUUUUCAAGUUUCACCAAAUUUCAAGCAAAACCUCUUAUUAUAGCACACGAGUUUUUGAGAAAUUUCAUUUUUUCUGAACAUCUGGUUUUUUUUUUCCAUUCUUGUGUUCUUAUACACAUCACCAUACAUCAAUUGAACCAUUAUAGUAUCAAAAGCUAGUGACCUUUAUCAUUUUACUCGCAAUCGAGCUUAAAUAACUCAUGAUAACUUUGUUUGGUAAAGGUGUUGGAACUGUUACUUUCAGUUGAACAAGGUGAUUCGCCAUAAUUUUAGAGUCUUCAAUUCCUCUCAUACUGACCUCGGGAACCUAAAUUUUGAAAAACCGUACUUGUUACCCAUCUUUUCAAGUUUCACCAAAUUUCAACCAAAACCCCUUGUUAUAACACAUGAGUUUUUGAGAAAUUUCACUUUUUCUAAGCCUCUGGUUUUUUUCCAUCCUAGGCUCGCCUAGUCCCACCAAGGGGCCCCCAUGACUCGCCAAGGGGUCGCAAUGACCCUACUAGGCCCGUCUAGGGCCGCCAUGACCCACCUUUGGCCGCCUUGAUGCGCCUUGGGCCCCUUGACCCUCCAAGGCCCUUCUUGGCUCGCCUAAGGCAGCUAGGGGGCCGCCUUAACCAGUCUAGGGCCGCCAAGGGUUGCCUUGACCCUCUUGGACCUGCCUUUGGCUGCCUUGACCUAUCUAGGGCUGCCAAGGGGCCGCCUUGACCCAUCUUGGCCCACCGUGGGCCACUUUGACCCACCUUAACCCGCCUUCGGCGCCUUAACCCGGCUUUACCCUCCUUGGGCCGCCUUGACCCCCCUAAGGCCACCAAGGGGAUGCCUUGACCCAUCUAAGGCCACUUAGGGGCGCCUUGACCCGACUAGGGCCGCCAUGACUAGCCAAGUGCCCGCCUUGGCCCGCCUAAACCAUAAACCAUUGACCCUCCUAGGCCCACCUUGACCUGCCUUGUCCCGCCAUAACCACCUUAGACUGCCAAGGGGACGCCUUGACCCGCCUUGGGCCGCCUUAACCCCCCUAAGGCAGCCUUGACCCGUUUUGACCCGCCUAGAGCCGCCAAGCGGCCGCCUUGACCCGCCUUGAUCAGCCUUGCGUCGACUUGACCCACCUUUGGCCUCCUUGACCCGGCUUGGGCCGCCUUGACCCGGCUUAGGUCGCCUUGGCCCAUUUUAACCCGCCUAAACCCACCUUGACCAAUCUUGACCCUCCUAGGGCAUCUUAGGCUCGCCAAAGGGUCGCCAUGACCCUCCUAGGCCCGUCAAUGGCUGCCUUGACCCGUUGUCUUAACCCGCCUUGGGCUGCUUUAACCCUCAUAGGCAAUAAUAAGCCUACCUAGGGCAGCCAAGGGGUCACCAUGACCCUUGUAGGGCUGCAAAAUAGCAGCCUUGACCAGCUUAGGGCUGCUAGGGGGCCGCCUUGACGCGACUAGAGACGCCUUUACCUAUCUAGGGCCACCUUGACCCACCUUGGCCCACUUUGGCUGCCUAGGGCCGCCAAGGGGCCGCCUUGACAUGCCUAGGACCUCCUUGACCCGUCUUAACCCGCCCUGACCCUCGUAGGCUCGCCUAGGGCCAUUAAGGGGCCACCAUGACUAGCCAAGGGGGGUCUCUAUGACCCUCCUAGGCCCGUCUAGGGCCACAUUGACCCGCCAUGGCCUGCCUUGACCCUUCUAGGGCCACCAAACGGCCGCUUUGACGCACCUUGACCUGCAUUUACCCGCCUUGACCCUCCUAGGCUCGCCUCAGGCCACCAAGGGGCCGCCAUGACUCGCCAAGGGUCGCCACGACCCUCCUAGGCUCCUCUAGGGGUGCCUUAACCUGCCUUGGGCCGCUUUGACCCUUCUAGUCCUGCCUAGGGCCGCCAAGUGGCCGCCUUGACCCGCUUUAGGCUGUCAUGAGGCCGCCUUGACGCACUUAGGGCCGCCAAGCGGUAGCCUUAACGCUCCUAGAGCCGCCUUGACCCGCAUUGGCCCGCUUUGACCCGCCUUGACAUACCAUGGCCUGCCUUGGGCCGCCUUGACCCGCUUGGACCUGCCCUGGGCAGCCAAGGGGCUGUCUUGACCCGCCUAGGGCCGCUAAGGGGCCACCUUGACUUGCCUAGUCCCGCCAAACGGUCUCCUUGACCCACCCUAACCCUCAUUCACCCUCCUAAGCUCGCCUAGAGCCACCAAGGGGCCGCCAUGAUUAGCCAAGGGGUCGCCUUGACCUUCCUAGGCCCGUCUAGGGCCGUCUUGACCCGUCUGGGGACGCCUUGACCAACCUUGGGCCACCUUGACCCAUCUUGGGCCGCUUUGACCCUCCUAGGGCAGCCAAGGGGCCACCAUGACCCUCCUAGGGUCGCCAAGCGGCCGCCUUGACCUGCUUUGACCNNNNNNNNNNNNNNNNNNNNCCGCCUAGGCCUGCCUUGUCCCAUCUUGACCCGCCAUGGAGGCCGCCUUAACCCGCUUUGACCCUCUUAGGCUCGAGGGCCACCAAGGGGCCGCCAUGACUCACCAAGGCCCAUCUAGGGCCGCCUUGACCCAUUUAGGACCGCCUUGAUCCGUCUAGGUCCGCCAUAACCUGCUUUGACCCUCCUAGGGCAGCCAAGGGGCCGCCUUGACCCAUCUUGGGUUGCCAUGGGACCGCCUUGACCUACCUAGGCCCGUCUAGGGCCACCUUGACCCGACUUGGGCCGCCUUAGUGCUCUUUUGGCCGCCUUAGGUUGCCUUGACCCUCUUAGGCUCGCUAGGGCAGCCCGCCAAAGGGUCGCCAUUAGGCCAAUUGACCCUCCUAGGCCCUCCAAGGGCAGCCAAAGGGGCCGCCUUGACCCUCUUGGGGCAGCCAAAUGGGCCGUCUUGACCCUCCUAGGCCCUCCUAGGGUAGCCAUGGGGCCACCUUGACCUGCCUAGAGUCGCCAAGCAGCCGCCUUGACCCGCAUUGACCCACCUUGACGCGUCAUGGCCCGGCUUGAGCCGCCUUGACCCGCCUUGGGUCGCCUUGACCUUCCUAGGGCAGCCAAGAGACCGCUUUGACCUGUCUAGGGUGACCAAGCGGUCACCUUGACGUGCCUUGACCCGCCUUGAUCUGCCUUGACCUUUCUAUACCCGCCUUGGUCCGCCUUGACCCGCCAAGGAGCUUCCUUGACCCUCUUAGACCCACAUUGGUCCCCUUGACAUGCCUUGACCCUCCUAGGCUCGCCUUCACCUGCUGAGAACCGCCUUGACCCGCCUUGACCCACCUAGGCCCGCCUAGGGCAGCCAAGUGGCAGCCAUGCCCAUAACCCUCCAAGGGUCGCCAAGUGGCCGCCUUAACCCGCUUAGACCUACCAUGGGACGCCUUGACCCGCCUUGGGCCGCCUUGACCUGCUUAGGGCCGCUAAGCAGCCGUCUUGACCCGCCUUAACCCCCCUUAACCCACCUUGGGCCGCCAAGGACCCACCUUGACCCUCCAGGGCAGCCAAGGUGCUACCCUGACCUGCCUAGGGUCACCAAGCGGCCACCUUGACCCUCCUAAACUCGCCUUCACUUGCGUAGGCCCUCCUAGGCUCGCCUAACGCAGCCAAGGGGCCGCUUUGACCCGCGUAAGGCCGCUUAAACCUGCUCAGGGCCGCCAAGCGGUCACCAUGACCCGCGUAGGCCUGCCUUGACCCACCCUGGCCCGCCUUAAUCCUCCUAGGCUCGUCUAGGACCAACAAGGGGCCGCCAUCACUCACCAAGGGGUCGCCAUGACCCUCCUUGACCUGUCUAGGGCCGCCAUGACCCGCCUUAUGCCGCUUUGACCCCCCCUAGGUCCGCCUAGGGCAGCCAAGGGGUUCCAUGACCCUUCUAGGGCUGCCAAGGGGCCGCCUAGGGCCGCCUUGACCCGCAAAGGGCUGCCAUGGGGCCGUCUUGACCUGCUUAGGGCCGUCAAGAGGCCGCUUUGACGCGCCAAGAGCCGUCUUGACCCGCCUUUACCCUCCUAGGGCAGCCAAGGGGCCGCCUUGACCCGCCUAGGGCCGCUAAGUGGCCGUUUAGACCUGCCUAUGGCCGCCAAGUGGUCGCCUAGACCCGUCUUGACCGGCCUUAAUCCACUUAGACCCUCCUAGGCUCGCUUAGGGCCACCAAGGGGUCGUCAUGACCCUCUUAGGGCCGCCUUGGGCCGCUUUGACUCUCCUAGGCCCACCUAAGGCAGCCAAGCUUUGGCCGCCAAGUGGCCUCCUUGACUUGCUUAGGGCCGCCAAGCGACCCUCCUAAACCUGUUUUGACCCUCCUAGGCUCGCCAUGACUCAGCUAGAGCCGCCAAGGGGCUGCCUUGACCCUCCUAGACCCGUAUUGGGCCGCCUUGACCCUCCUAGGCCCUCCUAGGCUCGCCUAGGGCAGCCAGAGGGCCGCCUUGACCUGCCUAGGGCAGCCAAGGGGCCGCCUUGACCCGCCUAGGCCUGUCUUGGCCCACCUUGACUCGUCUAGGGCCGGGUUGACACGCCUUGGGCCGCCUUGACCCUCCUAAAGUUUGAGGCAGCCAUGGUAGGGAACUAAUCUCUUAUUAGAUUUAGAAGACUAUCAUGCCCAAAGAUGGGGAACUAAAUGUUUCUUCUCACUCUUGUUUGGGUUAUAGGAUGUAAAUAUAUAUACUUAUACUUGAGGGUUUUUGGCCAAAAAAACUGUCUAAGCUUGAACCUAUAUAGCCCUUCAUAUGUAUCCGCCCAUGUAGACGGCCGAUGCCAAUAUACUCUAAAUUUCAAAAUUGACUUCAAUGAUUACAUCACAAGCUGAGUUGGCCCAAACAUGUUGACCCACUUUUACAAACAAUGAACCCCUUAGAAGGAUAUAAUGGACAUUUUCACAUUCCACCCUAAAAUUAAAAACAUAAACGCUCUAGCAAUAAUGCAAUAGUGCAACAGUGCAAAACCACAACUCUUCCUAUUUCUCAAAUGAAGGGUGAAAGGCUGAAAAAUGGGUCACUAUGUCGACUCCAACUCACCAGAUGACGUCACAUUUUGAACUAAAUUCAAAUUUUGGACUAGAGUGAUGCAUUUUAAAAGUUUAGGCAUUGAACUGAUUAAAAAAAAUAUCAGAGACUGAACUGAUUUUAGCCCUAAAGUUUGAGGGGGUAAACUGAAUUUAAUCCUUUUUUUAUUAUGACAUUAAUAAAGAUUUGUGCAUUUAGAC
rnacentral:lncRNA from 1 species